rnacentral:rRNA from 1 species
GACGAACGCUGGCGGCGUGCUUAACACAUGCAAGUCGAACGGAAAGGCCCUGCUUUUGUUGGGUGCUCGAUUGGCGAACGGGUGAGUAACACGUGAGUAACCUGCCCUUGACUUUGGGAUAACUUCAGGAAACUGGGGCUAAUAUCGGAUAGGAGCUCCUGCUGCAUGGUGGGGGUUGGAAAGUUUCGGCGUUUGGGGCUGGACUAGCGGCUUAUCAGCUUGUUGGUGGGGUAGUGGGUUACCAAGGGUAUGACGGGUAGCCGACGGGGGAGGGUGACCGGCCACAUGGGAACUGGGACAGGGUCCAUACGCCUGAGGGAGGCAGCAGUAGGGAAUAGUCCGCAAUGGGCGAAAGCCUGACGGAGCCACGCCGAGUGAGUGGUGGAGGUCUUGGGAGCGUAAAACUCGGUUAUGAGGGAAGAACAAAUGUGUCAGUAACUAUGCACGGCGUGACGGUACCUAAUCAGAAAGCCACGGCUAACUACGUG